rnacentral:rRNA from 1 species
GGAUGUGCCGCAAGGUGCAUGGCAGACGGGUGAGUAACGCGUGGGGAAUCUACCUUUUUGUGGGGAAUAACGCUCCGAAAGGAGUGGUAAUACCGCAUGAGACCGUGGUCUGGGAUGACCAUGGUGAAACCUGGGGACCGCAAGGCCUGGGGCAAAAAGAGGAUCCUGCGUCUGAUUAGCUAGUUGGCGGGGUAAUGGCCCACCAAGGCGACGAUCAGUAGCCGGCCUGAGAGGGUGAUCGGCCACACUGGAACUGAGACACGGUCCAGACUCCUACGGGAGGCAGCAGUGGGGAAUUUUGCGCAAUGGACGAAAGUCUGACGCAGCAACGCCGCGUGGGUGAUGAAGGUCUUCGGACUGUAAAACCCUGUCGUCAGGGACGAAGGUUGAGGGGUUAAUAAUCCUUUAGCUUGGCGGUACCUGAGAGAGGAAGCCCCGGCUAACUCUGUGCCAGCAGCCGCGGUAAUACAGAGGGGGCAAGCGUUAUUCGGAAUUAUUGGGCGUAAAGGGCGCGUAGGCGGUUUUUUAAGUCAGAUGUGUAAUCCCCGAGCUUAACUUGGGAACUGCAUCUGAGACUGGAAGGCUAGAGUACUGGAGAGGGUGGUGGAAUUCCUCGUGUAGCGGUGAAAUGCGUAGAGAUGAGGAGGAACACCAGUGGCGAAGGCGGCCACCUGGACAGUAACUGACGCUGAGGCGCGAAAGUGUGGGUAGCAAACA